CUAAAGCUAGUUUAAUUUUCAAAUAAGUGCUUUGGGAGCACUAGUUCCUCGUGGUACCGGGGCUUUAGA
rnacentral:tRNA from 1 species